AUUGAACGCUGGCGGCGUGCUUUACACAUGCAAGUCGGACGGCAGCAUGCCUAGCAAUAGGUGAUGGCGAGUGGCGAACGGGUGAGUAAUACAUCGAGACGUACCUAAUAGUGGGGGAUAACUCAUCGAAAGAUGAGCUAAUACCGCAUAAUCUCCGAGGAGGAAAGGUGGGGCCCAGCAAUGGCCUAUCGCUGUUAGAGCGGUCGAUGGACGAUUAGUUAGUUGGUGGGGUAAAGGCUUACCAAGGCGAUGAUCGAUAGCUGUUCUGAGAGGAAGAUCAGCCACACUGGGACUGAGACACGACCCAGACUCCUACGGGAGGCAGCAGUGGGGAAUUUUGGACAAUGGGGGCAACCCUGAUCCAGCAACGCCGCGUGAAUGAAGAAGGCCUUAGGGUUGUAAAGUUCUUUUGUCUGGGGGCAAAAGUUUAUGGUUAAUACCCAUAGAUGAUGAGAGUACCAGAAGAAUAAGCACCGGCUAACUACGUGCCAGCCGCCGCUGUAACAC
rnacentral:rRNA from 1 species